UACGAAGGGGGCUAGCGUUGCUCGGAAUUACUGGGCGUAAAGCGCACGUAGGCGGCUUUCUAAGUCGGGGGUGAAAUCCUGGAGCUCAACUCCAGAACUGCCUUCGAUACUGGAGAGCUUGAGUCCGGGAGAGGUGAGUGGAACUGCGAGUGUAGAGGUGAAAUUCGUAGAUAUUCGGAGGAACACCAGUGGCGAAGGCGG
rnacentral:rRNA from 1 species